UACGUAGGGGGCUAGCGUUGUCCGGAUUUAUUGGGCGUAAAGAGCGUGUAGGCGGCCAUGUAGGUCCGGUGUGAAAACUCGAGGCUUAACCUCGAGAUGUCAUCGGAAACCAUUUGGCUAGAGUCCGGAAGAGGGGAGUGGAAUUCCUGGUGUAGCGGUGAAAUGCGCAGAUAUCAGGAAGAACACCAAUGGCGAAAGCAGCUCUCUGGGACGGUACUGACGCUGAGACGCGAAAGCGUGGGGAGCGAACAGG
rnacentral:rRNA from 1 species